UAGGGAAUCUUCGGCAAUGGACGAAAGUCUGACCGAGCAACGCCGCGUGAGUGAAGAAGGUUUUCGGAUCGUAAAACUCUGUUGUUAGAGAAGAACAAGGACGUUAGUAACUGAACGUCCCCUGACGGUAUCUAACCAGAAAGCCACGGCUAACUACGUGCCAGCAGCCGCGGUAAUACGUAGGUGGCAAGCGUUGUCCGGAUUUAUUGGGCGUAAAGCGAGCGCAGGCGGUUUCUUAAGUCUGAUGUGAAAGCCCCCGGCUCAACCGGGGAGGGUCAUUGGAAACUGGGAGACUUGAGUGCAGAAGAGGAGAGUGGAAUUCCAUGUGUAGCGGUGAAAUGCGUAGAUAUAUGGAGGAACACCAGUGGCGAAGGCGGCUCUCUGGUCUGUAACUGACGCUGAGGCUCGAAAGCGUGGGGAGCAAUCAGG
rnacentral:rRNA from 1 species